rnacentral:tRNA from 3 species
GGGGCCGUAGUCUAGCUUGGUAGGAUGCGUGGCUCGGGAACGUGAACCCGGGUUCAAAUCCCGGCGGCCCCA